ACACGACUACAUUAGAUACCCGUGUAGUCCCAGCCGUAAACUAUGCUCGCUAGGUGUCAGGGACGGCGCGACCGUUUCUGGUGCCGGCAGGGAAGCCGUGAAGCGAGCCACCUGGGAAGUACGGUCGCAAGGCUGAAACUUAAAGGAAUUGGCGGGGAGCACCACAAGAGGUGGAGGCUGCGGUUCAAUUGGACUCAACGCCGGAAAACUCAUCGGGAGCGACAGCAGUAUGAUUGCCAGGUUGAUGACCUUGCUUGACAAGCUG
rnacentral:rRNA from 1 species